rnacentral:misc_RNA from 1 species
GUACAGGAAAACAGCUGAAGCUGUGAUGUGUGGCCUUAUACCGGAUUCUCCAACUGCCACAACUAGUAGAACUGAUGGUGGCCUUAUAUGGGUCAGUGAAUGGAAUGCGCUGCAACAUCCUGUUGCUUCUGCAUUUUUAGCCACUAUUUAUAGUGACUACAUGCUUACUUCAAGGACUGCAAAGCUAUCGUGCAAUGGAGAAUCAUACAAACCAUCAGAUCUUCGGAAAUUCGCCAAGUCCCAGGCUGAUUAUGUCUUGGGCGACAAUCCUCUGAAAAUGAGUUUUCUAGUUGGAUAUGGUGACAAGUAUCCACAGUAUGUGCACCAUAGGGGAGCUUCAAUCCCAGCUGAUGCAACAACCGGCUGGAAGGGUGGCUGGAAAUGGCUUGGUUUAAAGCAGAGAAACCCAAUCCCAACGUCGCGGUUGGAGCACUUGUGGGUGGGCCCUUCCUGAAUGAAACAUAUGAUGAUUCUCGGAACAACUCAAUGCAAGGGGAACCAAGCACAUAUAACGGUGCGGUAGUUGUUGGGCUGCUCUCGAGUCUGGUCACCACCUCUUCAGUAGUUCAGUCCUUCACUUAAAUCAACCUGGGUACAUAUCUAGUUACGCGUUGUUUGUAUUAUAUGUAGUUUUUACUUGUCAGGUUAUUUGUUUCCCUGCAUAUUUGGUUUCUUAAAUCUUAAAUAGUUUGUUUUGUAUUGUGAAACCUGGGUUGGGGUUAUUCCUCCAAGUACAACAAAAAGAAUGCUCCUUGCACAAGAAC